UACGUAGGGUGCAAGCGUUAAUCGGAAUUACUGGGCGUAAAGCGUGCGCAGGCGGUUGGGUAAGACAGAUGUGAAAUCCCCGGGCUCAACCUGGGAACUGCAUUUGUGACUGCACAGCUGGAGUGCGGCAGAGGGGGAUGGAAUUCCUGGUGUAGCGGUGAAAUGCGCAGAUAUCAGGAAGAACACCCGUGGCUAAGGCGGCUCUCUAGUACGGUACUGACGCUGAGACGCGAAAGCGUGGGGAGCGAACAGG
rnacentral:rRNA from 1 species